rnacentral:rRNA from 1 species
CCUACGGGUGGCAGCAGUGGGGAAUCUUGCACAAUGGGGGAAACCCUGAUGCAGCGCCGCAGCGUGAGCGAUGAAGUAUUUCGGUAUGUAAAGCUAUAUCAGCCGGGAAGAAAAUGACGGUACCUGAAUAAGAAGCAACGGCUAACUACGUGACAGCAGCCGCGGUAAAACGUAGGGGGCAAGCGUUAUCCGGAUUUACUGGGUGUAAAGGGAGCGUAGACGGGGAUGCAAGCCAGAUUUGAAAGCCCGGGGCUCAACCCCGGGACUGCAUUUGGAACUGUAUAGCUAGAGUGUCGGAGAGGCAGGCGGAAUUCCUAGUGUAGCGGUGAAAUGCGUAGAUAUUAGGAGGAAUACCAGUGGCGAAGGCGGCCUGCUGGACGAUGACUGACGUUGAGGCUCGAAAGCGUGGGGAGCAAACAGGAUUAGAUACCCGGGUAGUC